GACGAACGCUGGCGGCGUGCUUAACACAUGCAAGUCGAACGGAAAGGCCCUGCUUUUGUGGGGUGCUCGAGUGGCGAACGGGUGAGUAGCACGUGAGUAACCUGCCCUUGACUUUGGGAUAACUUCAGGAAACCGGGGCUAAUACCGGAUAGGAGCUCCUGCUGCAUGGUGGGGGUUGGAAAGUUUCGGCGGUUGGGGAUGGACUCGCGGCUUAUCAGCUUGUUGGUGGGGUAGUGGCUUACCAAGGCUUUGACGGGUAGCCGGCCUGAGAGGGUGACCGGCCACAUUGGGACUGAGAUACGGCCCAGACUCCUACGGGAGGCAGCAGUGGGGAAUAUUGCACAAUGGGCGGAAGCCUGAUGCAGCAACGCCGCGUGCGGGAUGAAGGCCUUCGGGUUGUAAACCGCUUUCGCCUGUGACGAAGCGUGAGUGACGGUAAUGGGUAAAGAAGCACCGGCUAACUACGUG
rnacentral:rRNA from 1 species